CAAAAACCUAGAUGAGUUAACCUUUAUUUGGAAAAAGAUCUUCGGGUUCUCUUUUUCACAACUCAUUUAUUUAUUCAACCAACAAACCUUUCUGGAACUUCUGCCUAGCCACGAGGUCUCCAGCCCGUACAUGAAGAAUGGGCUAGUGAGCCUUGGACUUGUUGUCACAGGGCAACUGCCCAAUGGAGAUGCAAUGUGAACCAUGUGUGACUUUGCAUUUUCUAGUACAUUAAAAGGAAGAAGACAUAGGACUCUGGCAUGUGCCACAUCCCUAACCCUAACAGAGGGUACCUACCGAAGAUACCAGGGCAUCCUGCAGUGUAUCAGCAAUCUUCACAGCAUCUUUACCAGGAGUAGAUCCCAUCCCAAGAAACCACUCUCCUGGCUCAUCUGUAAGAAGCAAGU